rnacentral:rRNA from 1 species
GUAACACUAACUGGAGGACCGAACCGACUAAUGUUGAAAAAUUAGCGGAUGACCUGUGGCUGGGGGUGAAAGGCCAAUCAAACCGGGAGAUAGCUGGUUCUCCCCGAAAGCUAUUUAGGUAGCGCCUCGUGAAUUCAUCUCCGGGGGUAGAGCACUGUUUCGGCUAGGGGGCCAUCCCGGCUUACCAACCCGAUGCAAACUGCGAAUACCGGAGAAUGUUAUCACGGGAGACACACGGCGGGUGCUAACGUCCGUCGUGAAGAGGGAAACAACCCAGACCGCCAGCUAAGGUCCCAAAGUCAUGGUUAAGUGGGAAACGAUGUGGGAAGGCCCAGACAGCCAGGAUGUUGGCUUAGAAGCAGCCAUCAUUUAAAGAAAGCGUAAUAGCUCACUGGUCGAGUCGGCCUGCGCGGAAGAUGUAACGGGGCUAAACCAUGCACCGAAGCUGCGGCAGCGACACUGUGUGUUGUUGGG